rnacentral:rRNA from 1 species
ACGAACGCUGGCGGCGUGCUUAACACCUGCAAGUCGAACGAAGCUUGAUUACGGAUUCUUCGGAUGAAGUAUGAUAUGACUGAGUGGCGGACGGGUGAGUAACGCGUGAGUAACCUGCCCUUCAGAGGGGGAUAGCGUUUGGAAACGAACGGUAAUACCGCAUAAUGUAUUUUGACCGCAUGAUCGAAAUACCAAAGAUUUAUCGCUGAAGGAUGGACUCGCGUCUGAUUAGGUAGUUGGUGGGGUAACGGCCUACCAAGCCGACGAUCAGUAGCCGGACUGAGAGGUUGAUCGGCCACAUUGGGACUGAGACACGGCCCAGACUCCUACGGGAGGCAGCAGUGGGGAAUAUUGCACAAUGGGCGCAAGCCUGAUGCAGCAACGCCGCGUGAAGGAAGACGGUUUUCGGAUUGUAAACUUCUGUUCUUAGUGAAGAAUAAUGACGGUAGCUAAGGAGCAAGCCACGGCUAACUACGU